UACGUAGGGUGCGAGCGUUUGUCCGGAAUUAUUGGGCGUAAAGGGCUCGUAGGCGGUUUGUCGCGUUCGGGAGUGAAAACACCGGGCUUAACUCGGUGCUUGCUUUCGAUACGGGCAGACUAGAGGUAUGCAGGGGAGAACGGAAUUCCUGGUGUAGCGGUGAAAUGCGCAGAUAGUCAGGAGGAACACCGGUGGCGAAGGCGGUUCUCUGGGCAUUACCUGACGCUGAGGAGCGAAAGUGUGGGGAGGCGAACAGG
rnacentral:rRNA from 1 species